rnacentral:rRNA from 1 species
GAUGAACGCUAGCUACAGGCUUAACACAUGCAAGUCGAGGGGCAGCAUGGUCUUAGCUUGCUAAGGCCGAUGGCGACCGGCGCACGGGUGAGUAACACGUAUCCAACCUGCCGUCUACUCUUGGACAGCCUUCUGAAAGGAAGAUUAAUACAAGAUGGCAUCAUGAGUCCGCAUGUUCACAUGAUUAAAGGUAUUCCGGUAGACGAUGGGGAUGCGUUCCAUUAGAUAGUAGGCGGGGUAACGGCCCACCUAGUCUUCGAUGGAUAGGGGUUCUGAGAGGAAGGUCCCCCACGUUGGAACUGAGACACGGUCCAAACUCCUACGGGAGGCAGCAGUGAGGAAUAUUGGUCAAUGGGCGAGAGCCUGAACCAGCCAAGUAGCGUGAAGGAUGACUGCCCUAUGGGUUGUAAACUUCUUUUAUAAAGGAAUAAAGUCGGGUAUGCAUACCCGUUUGCAUGUACUUUAUGAAUAAGGAUCGGCUAACUCCGUGCCAGCAGCCGCGGUAAUACGGAGGAUCCGAGCGUUAUCCGGAUUUAUUGGGUUUAAAGGGAGCGUAGAUGGAUGUUUAAGUCAGUUGUGAAAGUUUGCGGCUCAACCGUAAAAUUGCAGUUGAUACUGGAUAUCUUGAGUGCAGUUGAGGCAGGCGGAAUUCGUGGUGUAGCGGUGAAAUGCUUAGAUAUCACGAAGAACUCCGAUUGCGAAGGCAGCCUGCUAAGCUGCAACUGACAUUGAGGCUCGAAAGUGUGGGUAUCAAACAGGAUUAGAUACCCUGGUAGUCCACACGGUAAACGAUGAAUACUCGCUGUUUGCGAUAUGCAGCAAGCGGCCAAGCGAAAGCGUUAAGUAUUCCACCUGGGGAGUACGCCGGCAACGGUGAAACUCAAAGGAAUUGACGGGGGCCCGCACAAGCGGAGGAACAUGUGGUUUAAUUCGAUGAUACGCGAGGAACCUUACCCGGGCUUAAAUUGCAGAUGAAUUACGGUGAAAGCCGUAAGCCGCAAGGCAUCUGUGAAGGUGCUGCAUGGUUGUCGUCAGCUCGUGCCGUGAGGUGUCGGCUUAAGUGCCAUAACGAGCGCAACCCUUGUUGUCAGUUACUAACAGGUUCCGCUGAGGACUCUGACAAGACUGCCAUCGUAAGAUGUGAGGAAGGUGGGGAUGACGUCAAAUCAGCACGGCCCUUACGUCCGGGGCUACACACGUGUUACAAUGGGGGGUACAGAGGGCCGCUACCACGCGAGUGGAUGCCAAUCCCAAAAACCUCUCUCAGUUCGGACUGGAGUCUGCAACCCGACUCCACGAAGCUGGAUUCGCUAGUAAUCGCGCAUCAGCCACGGCGCGGUGAAUACGUUCCCGGGCCU